GUAAGACAUUUACCUAAGUUCACACAACUAGGAAAGGCAAAGCCACAUCUUCCAACUCCCAACUCACGUUCAAGGUCCUUUCAGAUUCCAGGCUUCGCUAAUGAAUCAAUUGGUGUGAUUCCUCCAAGUCCCUGUGAUAUUGAUGUCUAUGAGGAAAAAAUGAAGAAAGAAACAAAGCCAGUGUCCCAGUUUCAAUGAAAGUGACACCAUCACCUGUUACCAUUUCAGUGGAAGAAAUGAUCACUUCAUCUGAUUCACCCCUGCGCCUGGUGGGCGGGCAGAACCGCUGCGAGGGCCGCCU